UUUAAAGAGAGUUUGAUCCUGGCUCAGGACGAACGCUGGCGGCGUGCCUAAUACAUGCAAGUCGAACGAACGGAGGAAGAGCUUGCUCUUCCAAAGUUAGUGGCGGACGGGUGAGUAACACGUGGGCAACCUGCCUGUAAGUUGGGGAUAACUCCGGGAAACCGGGGCUAAUACCGAAUGAUAAAGUGUGGCGCAUGCCACGCUUUUGAA
rnacentral:rRNA from 1 species